AAAUUUAUAUAUUUGAUAUUUAAAAAUGAAUUAUGUCUUUUGGAAAUAAUUUUGCAAAACAAAUUAUCGACUAUGGAUACAUUCAUAAUAAAUCAAGCAACGACCAUGUUAAAAUACUUGGCUGUGACCCGUGGUCGCGAAAAUUGUUUUACAUGUUUCAAAAUUGUGUUUUACUGAAUGAAUGCGAUUGUUUGAGUCACUGGAAGCAUCAUGACGGAUAUACUGUAUAUACACAUUAACAUCAGGAUAGUGUAUAUUGAUCAAUGACCAGAUCACAUGACAGAAACGAUCCCUCUCUGGAACUAAUUCGGUACCAUCGUUCUCAGAGUUGUGGCUCAAGAUCUCAAACCAUAGCAAAUGAAUGGCAUUGAUAAUGUUAAUGAAUGAGUUGAAUUGUUUCCUAUACAAACGCACCUUAUAAAGAGAACUAUGUGAAAUGAGAAUUUAGUUUAUAAGUUGAUAUUAAAAAUGAAUGGCC
rnacentral:lncRNA from 1 species